UACGUAGGGACCAAGCGUUGUUCGGAUUUACUGGGCGUAAAGGGCGCGUAGGCGGCGUGACAAGUCACUUGUGAAAUCUCCGGGCUUAACCCGGAACGGCCAAGUGAUACUGUCGUGCUAGAGUGCAGAAGGGGCAAUCGGAAUUCUUGGUGUAGCGGUGAAAUGCGUAGAUAUCAAGAGGAACACCUGAGGUGAAGACGGGUUGCUGGGCUGACACUGACGCUGACAGCGCGAAAGCUAGGGGAGCGAUCCGG
rnacentral:rRNA from 1 species